rnacentral:rRNA from 1 species
AGAGUUUGAUCAUGGCUCAGAACGAACGCUUGCGGCGCGCCUAAUACAUGCAAGUCGAACGACGUAGCAAUACGGAGUGGCGCACGGGUGAGUAACACGUGGAUAAUCUGCCCUCUACUGGGGAAUAACUAACCGAAAGGUUAGCUAACACCGCAUGAGACCACAGUGCCUGCGGGCACAGAGGUUAAAAAUUUAUUGGUAGAGGAUGAGUCUGCGCGGGAUUAGCUAGUUGGUGGGGUAACGGCCUACCAAGGCAACGAUCCCUAGCUGGUCUGAGAGGAUGACCAGUCACACUGGAACUGAGACACGGUCCAGACUCCUACGGGAGGCAGCAGUAGGGAAUAUUGCGCAAUGGACGAAAGUCUGACGCAGCGACGCCGCGUGAGUGAUGAAGGCCUUAGGGUCGUAAAGCUCUGUUGAAUGGGAAGAAAUAAAUGACGGUACCAUUCGAGGAAGGACCGGCUAACUUCGUGCCAGCAGCCGCGGUAAUACGAGGGGUCCUAGCGUUGUUCGGAAUCAUUGGGCGUAAAGGGUGUGUAGGUGGCUA